rnacentral:rRNA from 1 species
GACCUCUGAUCGGAAAAGACUACCCGCUGAGUUUAAGCAUAUCACUAAGCGGAGGAGAAGAAACGAACCAGG